GCCCCGGAGCCCGCGGGGAGGGCGGCGCGACCGCCGACCCCGCCCACGGCCGCCACGCUGCCCUGGGGACGGACCCGGCGGGCGGAAGCCCAGUCCCCCCUCGGGGCCGCGCGUCAGUUCGGUCCAGUGUUCCUGGUCAAGCAACCAUCCUGAGACGCUGUCCUCCAAAUGGUUACCCAGGCUCUCUCCAUUGUGGUUCUCCACUCAGCCAGCAGAUGGGGAAAGAAAAAGGAAGAUCACUAGAGAAGAGGCAGGCUUGAAAGGGGAGACAUCGAUUUGGCCCACAUUCCAUUGGCUAGAACUCAGUCAUAUGGCCAAGGAGGCUGGAAGAUGUAGUGAGCUGUGUGCCCAGGAAAAAAAGGGAACACUGGCAAAUAUUUAACUAGUUUUUGCCAGCUGCGAUGGGAGCUAAAUGUUUUCUGGCUUAUUUCCAAUGAAAAUAGAGUGCCUCAGUCCCUGUAUUCUAACAAAGACACUGAGAUUCACCUUGAGUAACAGGCACAUCCCUGAACAGACGAACUGACCAGAGGACUGCGAUGGGCUGAUGGCCUCAAGCCCACCAGAGUCCACCUCUUGAGCUAGAGGUGGGGUCGGCUUUCCCUGAAAUGUCCGGACUGCACGGGAAAGAGAUUCACAGCAGCUAAAUGUACUCAGGCCUCUCCGAUUACCACUGUCUUUCCAAUUGGGACUUGGCUGUCAUCAAUCCAGGGAAAGAUAUUCAGGAAACUUUCCCUUUAAGUUGUGGUCAUGAAGAUCUGGAAAGUGCAUAUCAGAGCUGCGCGUUUGACUGCGGAAUUCAGUGCUGGAGGACAGAAAGAAGCAGAAGCUUUAUUUACAAAUUCACUGGAUUCUUUGCGGGCAAAAGGGCACAUAGAAUAUGUGGUAGUGA